rnacentral:lncRNA from 1 species
CUCUCACCAGUCACAGCAGAGCGCUCGGUUAAUCUGAAGUGGCUACCACACUUGAGCUUUUCUUCCCAGUCAACUCACAGCCCUUCAGGGACGGCCACUUUCAGUUGUCACUGCGGUCUCUGCUCUUAGCAUAAGGCUAGGCCAAAUGCAGGCUCUUCAUGAAGUGACCCAAUGUGUCACCAUGAGAGGAGGAGGCCAGUAGAAAGUGGGCUCCAUGGCAAGCUGUUUCUGAGGUCUGACACCAUUACAGAUGGCCUCAAGGAACACCGUUGAUCGCAGGAUCUGAGUUCCCCAGAAAUGGGCUCUAAGUGGAGGAGCCUGGCCCCGUCUUGAUAAAGAGUAGAUGGCAACACAGAGGCAUUCAAGGCAGAGGCAACCUCUUCACCAGCCCCUCCAGCCCCAGCCCAGCACACAAUGGGGGGGUCCUGCUUUCAGAUGGUUGCGAUGUAUCCAGGGAGAAUGUCCAGCCACCUUCACCGCCAAGGGAGUUGACAGAACAACAGGAGCCGGUCCCUUCUAACGAGGUUCCAGGGUCUUGGAAUCAAACCUGCGAAUAAAAACCAAAUCUCCCGGCCUAUGGGAUAAAGGUUGUAGAGGUUUUUCAUUUGGACUAGUCAUUUUCUUUUAUAAUGUCUCAUGUAGCUCUGACUGAAGCUGAUGAACUGCUUUUAAGGAUUUAAGGAGUCGAAGGUGGGAAAACUUUUCU